rnacentral:rRNA from 1 species
UACGGAGGGUGCAAGCGUUAUCCGGAUUUACUGGGCUUAAAGGGCGCGUAGGCGGAUAGGUAAGUCCGUGGUGAAAUCCUGCAGCUUAACUGCAGAACUGCCGUGGAUACUAUCUAUCUUGAAUGUCGUGGAGGUUAGCGGAAUAUGUCAUGUAGCGGUGAAAUGCUUAGAUAUGACGUAGAACACCCAUUGCGAAGGCAGCUAACUGGGCGAUAAUUGACGCUGAUGCACGAAAGCGUGGGGAUCAAACAGG